UUAGUUUGAUUCUAUCUAAAAGAUUAGUAGUUAUUAAUAAACCUUAUGCUUAACUUUUGUUAAUCUAAAUACUUAAACAAAUGAAAUAUAACAAAUUUGUAAGAUGUUUCAACAGCAGCGGUUAGAGCUAUGAUAAUGUGUUAACGCACGAAAUGAUUUAAAUUACCCUAGUCGGCAAAGUUCGUGCCAGCAGCAGCGGUUAUACGAUAGACGUCUAACAUUGAAAAUCUAUAAAGAUAUUUUAAGAGUAAUACAUAGGUCAAAUUUCUAUAUACUAUGUUCUAAUUAUAUCACUUAAUAAGCUAUAAACUAAAACAAGGAUUAGAUACCCUUUUAUUAUUAGUGUAAAAAAAGAUUGGAGACUACGAGCAAUAGCUUAAAAACCCAAGAAUUUGGCUGUAUCUUACUCAGUCAGGGGGACCUGUUAAAUAAAUCGACAGUCCACGAACAACUUACCUUAUCUUGAAUGCUUGACAGCAUGUGUACUGCCGUCCCAUAGAUCCUUAAGGGCCUCUAUAUGAAAAUAGUAUCAAUUUUACGUCAGGUCAAAGUGCAGCCAAUGGUAAGGAAUUAAUUGGUCACAUGAUAUAUUAAAUUUCAGAUUGUUAACAUAAAGUUAGCUCAAAGAAGAACUUGAUAGUAAUUACAUAAUACACUAAUGAAACUGAACCUAAGAUAAGCACAUAUCGCCCGUCACUCCUUUAUAUAGGAUAAGUCGUAACAUAGUAGAUGUAAUGGAAAUUGCAUCUGU
rnacentral:rRNA from 1 species